AGUGAACGCUGGCGGUAGGCCUAACACAUGCAAGUCGAACGGCAGCACAGUAAGAGCUUGCUCUUACGGGUGGCGAGUGGCGGACGGGUGAGGAAUACAUCGGAAUCUACUUUUUCGUGGGGGAUAACGUAGGGAAACUUACGCUAAUACCGCAUACGACCUACGGGUGAAAGCAGGGGAUCAUCGGACCUUGCGCGAUUGAAUGAGCCGAUGUCGGAUUAGCUAGUUGGCGGGGUAAAGGCCCACCAAGGCGACGAUCCGUAGCUGGUCUGAGAGGAUGAUCAGCCACACUGGAACUGAGACACGGUCCAGACUCCUACGGGAGGCAGCAGUGGGGAAUAUUGGACCAUGGGCGCAAGCCUGAUCCAGCCAUACCGCGUGGGUGAAGAAGGCCUUCGGGUUGUAAAGCCCUUUUGUUGGGAAAGAAAAGCAGCAGGUUAAUACCCCGCUGUUCUGACGGUACCCAAAGAAUAAGCACCGGCUAACUUCGUG
rnacentral:rRNA from 1 species